UCACUGAUUAUGUAACAUACUUAGAUUUCAUUUCGUUAUACAAAUUUUUUAUACACAUUUAAACCAAAUCUGCUUUUUUAUAUGAAAGAGCAAUUUGCACUAUUGGAGCCAAAUAAGAAUGGGUGCAUCUCACUAGAAAACAUAAGAAUGGUUAGUUUCUUUCUGUAAUAUUUAGAUUUCUUACUGGGCAUGUUUACAGUUGGUUGUUAAGCUACAAUGCUCAGUUACUUCUGUUGAUGAUUACUAUUGAAUAUUUUGGCCAAGCAUUGGUGAAAAAUGCAACAGAUGCUAUGAAGGAAUCCCGCAUUCAUGAUUUUCUUGCUUUGAAAGAUGGACUUUCACACCAGCAGCUUUAUGGUCAGAAGCUAACAAACAUGUCUACACACAAAUAAGAGAGAGAGGAUCCAUUCCAGUGUAAAGAAGAAUCAUCAACACCUGAUGAAAGGGCGCCGUUCUUUGAAGUGGACAUAGUCCUUGAUGUUGUCUCCUUCCAACUUGAGGCUGGCCCACCACACCAAAUCGCCUUCCACCUUUAGAGAACCCCCCCAACAGUGGUGGUAGAAGCAGCAGCAUUGUCACAGGGAACUUGAAGAGGACGAUUAUUCAGCUUCGGACAUCCACUCACUCUCAGUUUCUCCAAUGCCGGCAGGCACACCUCACCACAAAUACUCUCCAGCUUAGGUAGCUCCCACAAACAUUGUACGUAGUCUUUGGAGUGAGCCUUUAGCUACCCCUCGAAACACCGCCUCCAGUCUAUUGCAGAAUUUGAUAUGGAGAGUUUUCAGGCUUUCUAAGCAUACAACCGAGGAGAAGACGACCACGAGUCUCAGGCAACAAUCUAGAUAUAUGUGCAAUUCCUGAAAAAACACAACCAAGGAAAAAUUCUCUCAAUGAAGCCAGCAGCAGCGGCAGCAGCAGCAAUGACAGAAAUCCUGGAUGUACAGCAACAACAGCAAUGGCAGUGUGUUUGUUUUGAAAACUUUAAAUAUACGAUUAAUUGUUUUGUUGGUAUUGUGCUGAUUGUUGUCUUGAUGGAUGUUAAAUGGGUGAAACAUGCACAGUUCAAUCAUUGGUUGAUUAUAA